GUAGGGAAUCUUCCACAAUGGACGAAAGUCUGAUGGAGCAACGCCGCGUGAGUGAAGAAGGUCUUCGGAUCGUAAAACUCUGUUGUUAGAGAAGAAUGUGCAUGAUAGUAACUGAUCAUGUAAUGACGGUAUCUAACCAGAAAGCCACGGCUAACUACGUGCCAGCAGCCGCGGUAAUACGUAGGUGGCAAGCGUUGUCCGGAUUUAUUGGGCGGAAAGGGAACGCAGGCGGUUUUUUAAGUCUGAUGUGAAAGCCUUCGGCUUAACCGAAGAAUAGCAUUGGAAACUGGAAGGCUUGAGUGCAGAAGAGGAGAGUGGAAUUCCAUGUGUAGCGGUGAAAUGCGUAGAUAUAUGGAGGAACACCAGUGGCGAAAGCGGCUCUCUGGUCUGUAACUGACGCUGAGGUUCGAAAGCGUGGGUAGCAAACAGGAUUAGAAACCCGUGUAGUCC
rnacentral:rRNA from 1 species